GUUUCCGUAGGUGAACCUGCGGAAGGAUCAUUCAUAAUAAAGUGUUUUAUGGCACUUUUUAAAAAUCCAUAUCCACCUUGUGUGCAAUGUUAGAUCUCGUCAAUCUUGGCGAGAUUUUUAUACAUCAACUCAUUCUUUAACUAAUUUGUCUGAAAAAUAUUAUGAAUACUUAAUUCAAAAUACAACUUUCAACAACGGAUCUCUUGGCUCUC
rnacentral:misc_RNA from 1 species